ACUAUUUUGGCAGAUUAGUGCAAUAAAUUUAGAAUUUAUGUAUGUAAUUUUAUUAUUACAAAUAGUA
rnacentral:tRNA from 1 species